rnacentral:sRNA from 1 species
CGGUGUGAGGUCUUGCAGCCUCUUCUUCAAUCGUCACUUGUUCAGGUUAUUCGAAAACGUCUCUUUCAAGGGCGGAGAAGAAGCUACAACAAGACUACGGAGGUUACGAGUUGUUUUAUAACGCUGGCUGCGGGAGAAAUGGCAGGGUCCAUAGGGAUGGGCGACGCAGCUGUGACCUGAGCCCUGUAUCGCUUGUUGAGCUCGCGUGGAGUCCUGCAGCCUGCAAACCGUUCCAGGCCCACCAGGAUUUUAGAUCUAUCAUCAGCGGGAAGCAUCAACUAAACUGCAUACUACUAGUGUUUGUGAC